rnacentral:rRNA from 1 species
UAGGGAAUAUUGCACAAUGGGGGAAACCCUGAUGCAGCGACGCCGCGUGAAGGAAGAAGUAUCUCGGUAUGUAAACUUCUAUCAGCAGGGAAGACAAUGACGGUACCUGACUAAGAAGCCCCGGCUAACUACGUGCCAGCAGCCGCGGUAAUACGUAGGGGGCAAGCGUUAUCCGGAUUUACUGGGUGUAAAGGGAGCGUAGACGGAUCUGCAAGUCUGGAGUGAAAGCCCGGGGCUCAACCCCGGGACUGCUUUGGAAACUGUAGGUCUAGAGUGCCGGAGAGGUAAGCGGAAUUCCUAGUGUAGCGGUGAAAUGCGUAGAUAUUAGGAGGAACACCAGUGGCGAAGGCGGCUUACUGGACGGUAACUGACGUUGAGGCUCGAAAGCGUGGGGAGCAAACAGGA